UUCACAUUAGUUUGUUGAAAUAACCUAGUUUCCUUAAAGUGAUGACGUAUACAUUCCACCACACAUUUGGGUAUCUAACCCUCUUAAUGUAUUUUCCCCUUUAUUUAGUGAUAUCCUUAACACAAAAACACCCAUGGAAAAGAGCAGUGUGGAUAUUCAAGAGAAGAGGAAUUAUACAACAGAGACACCACAUCAAUUACAGUGCCCUAAACAUUGGCUUCAGCUCCACGAUAAAUGCUAGACUAUUUCUAGUUCUUUCAAAACUCAGAAUGACAGUCUAGCUGACUGCUCCCAAAGAGAAUCCAGUUUGCUGCUCAUCCAAGAUCAGGAAGAAUUGAGAUUCAUACAGAACCUGAUUAAGAAUUAAGGAAAUCUGUAUUGGAUUGGACUAAAAUUUACAUUAUCAGAGAAGAAGUGGAAGUGAAUAAAUGGUUCUUUAUUAAAUCAUGACAGAUUACAAAUUUUUGGUGAAAAUAAAAAAAACAGCUGUACUGCUAUCUCAAGAUGAAGGUAUUUUCUGAGAUCUGUAAUUCAGAAAACAAAUGGAUCUGUGAAAAGAAACUAAAGCCUGUCAGAAAUAAAGUAUCUUGACUAUGAA